rnacentral:rRNA from 1 species
UACGUAGGGCGCAAGCGUUGUCCGGAAUUAUUGGGCGUAAAGAGCUCGUAGGCGGCUUGUCACGUCGGGUGUGAAAGCCCGGGGCUUAACCCCGGGUCUGCAUUCGAUACGGGCUGGCUGGAGUGUGGUAGGGGAGAUCGGAAUUCCUGGUGUAGCGGUGAAAUGCGCAGAUAUCGGGAGGAACACCGGUGGCGAAGGCGGUUCUCUGGGCCUGUACUGACGCUGAGGAGCGAAAGCGUGGGGAGCAAACAGG